UACGUAGGGUGCAAGCGUUAAUCGGAAUUACUGGGCGUAAAGCGUGCGCAGGCGGUUUUGUAAAUCUGUCGUGAAAGCCCCGGGCUCAACCUGGGAAUUGCGAUGGAGACUGCAAGGCUUGAAUCUGGCAGAGGGGGGUAGAAUUCCAUGUGUAGCAGUGAAAUGCGUAGAGAUGUGGAGGAACACCGAUGGCGAAGGCAGCCCCCUGGGUCAAGAUUGACGCUCAUGCACGAAAGCGUGGGGAGCAAACAGG
rnacentral:rRNA from 1 species